GACAGAUCAAGGCUGAUCCUCUGGAUGUCUAUUGCCUAGAAAGCACACCUACCUGUUUGCUAUAUAUCCCAGCCUCAUGCUGAAAAAUGUGAAGCUGAUGGAUAUUGAAAAAACUGUAGGCUUUGCAAAAGGACUGCACUGGCCUCUGUGGGUGCCCCAGCCUUCUGAGGAUGUGGCUCAUGUGGAUCCAGGCUGCAGGAUCAGCAGCAUAUGGAUCAUCUCUGCCCAGGGAAAGGCAGARGCUUCUAGGGAGUGAAUUUGGAGCUGUUGUUCCUAAAGUUCACACUCGUAGCAC